rnacentral:rRNA from 1 species
AGCGAACGCUGGCGGCAUGCCUAACACAUGCAAGUCGCACGGGGGGGCUUCGGCCUCCCAGUGGCGGACGGGUGAGGAACGCGUAGGGACCUGUCGAGGGGUGGGGGAUAACCGCGGGAAACUGCGGCUAAUACCGCAUGACGCCGCGGCGUGACAGCCGGGGCCAAAGGCGAAAGCCGCCCGCCGAGGGGCCUGCGUCCGAUUAGCUGGUUGGCGGGGUAGCGGCCCACCAAGGCGUCGAUCGGUAGCUGGUCUGAGAGGGUGAUCAGCCACACCGGGACUGAGACACGGCCCGGACUCCUACGGGAAGCAGCAGUGGGGAAUAUUGGGCAAUGGGCGCAAGCCUGAUCCAGCAAUGCCGCGUGGGUGAAGAAGGUCUUCGGAUUGUAAAGCCCUUUCGGCGGGGACGAUGGUGACGGUACCCGCAGAAGAAGCCCCGGCUAACUUCGUG